GACGAACGCUGGCGGCGUGCUUAACACAUGCAAGUCGAACGGAAAGGCCCUGCUUUUGUGGGGUGCUCGAGUGGCGAACGGGUGAGUAACACGUGAGUAACCUGCCCUUGACUUUGGGAUAACUUCAGGAAACUGGGGCUAAUACCGGAUAGGAGCUCCUGCUGCAUGGUGGGGGUUGGAAAGUUUCGGCGGUUGGGGAUGGACUCGCGGCUUAUCAGCUUGUUGGUGGGGUAGUGGCUUACCAAGGCUUUAACGGGUAGCCGGCCUGAGAGGGUGACCGGCCACAUUGGGACUGAGAUACGGCCCAGACUCCUACGGGAGGCAGCAGUGGGGAAUAUUGCACAAUGGGCGGAAGCCUGAUGCAGCAACGCCGCGUGCGGGAUGACGGCCUUCGGGUUGUAAACCGCUUUCGCCUGUGACGAAGCGUGAGUGACGGUAAUGGGUAAAGAAGCACCGGCUAACUACGU
rnacentral:rRNA from 1 species